GUAGGUGGCAAGCGUUGUCCGGAAUUAUUGGGCGUAAAGCGCGCGCAGGCGGUUCUUUAAGUCUGAUGUGAAAGCCCACGGCUCAACCGUGGAGGGUCAUUGGAAACUGGAGAACUUGAGUACAGAAGAGAAAAGCGGAAUUCCACGUGUAGCGGUGAAAUGCGUAGAGAUGUGGAGGAACACCAGUGGCGAAGGCGGCUUUCUGGUCUGUAACUGACGCUGAGGCGCGAAAGCGUGGGGAGCAAACAGGGAUUAGAUACCCUGGUAGUCCACGCCGUAAACGAUGAGUGCUAAGUGUUAGGGGGUUUCCGCCCCCUUAGUGCUGCAGCUAACGCAUUAAGCACUCCGCCUGGGGAGUACGGCCGCAAGGCUG
rnacentral:rRNA from 1 species